GGGAUGGUGCUGAAGUGGACGCCGUGUGAACUUCACCAGCAAUGGCUCCAAUCUGACAUUAACGCAGUCCUAUCUAAAAUGGCAGUUGGAGAUAUACCUGAGAGAAAGAUGGAGGUGGAAGACAUGAAGGAAGAGACACUCUGGAAAGAUGGAGGGGGAGGACAGGGCUUCUAUUAAGGAGAAGGAGACCGCUGGAAAUAUGGGGCAGGAGGACAGCGCCUCUGUCCAGGAGGCCUGUAGAAAGAUGGACAACGAGGACAGGGCCUCUGAGCUCAAAGACUAUUUCACUGCUCUUGAGGAGAACCGCAGAAACAUGCAGAAUCUCCUGCAAGAGCAGAAAGAAGAGUAUGAGAUGGAGUUGAGGGCUCUGGAGAGGGAGAGUGUGCAGGAGAGAGAGAUGCGGAAUAGAAAUGAGGCCCUGAAGAGGGAGAGAGAGAUGCGGAAUAGAAAGGAGGCUCUGGAGAGGGAGAGAGAUGCGGGAAAGAGAGGAAGCCCUGCUGUCCACUUUUAUUUCCGUUGUUGUCUGCAAGGACAAGCUCAUGAAAGACCUGAGGAUCCAGAUGGACAGACCGAGUCCAUCUAAGGUGUGCGAGGCACAAUGGGGCCAUUUUCAAACACAUGGGGCCACUGGCACUGCAGUGGUCACACUCCAGGAUAAUUCUAUACCUCAACAAGUUGCGGAGAGUGACCUGCAGGGGAACAAUACUGAACUGAAGAAAAAGGAGAAAAGGGCAUACCGUUUGCAGCGUCAUUUUCUUGCAUUCUACUUCGGAAAGCGGCACGAUUAUUUUUAUUUCUGGCUUGAUUUUUUUUUUUUACACGUUUUCACUCUUACAUUUGAUCUUACAACUAGCUUCUCAUCCAAAUGUAAGUACCGAUACUUCGACACACCGUUUGCAGCAUCUUAAUUUUUCAAAAGCGGAAAAAAGCGGCUAGCCAUAACUAGAGCCAUAACUAGAACUAACCAAUCCACCAGGCCUAUACAAUGUGGAUAGAACCAGAUGUGGAACAUAUCAUUUAAAAGUGAACAUAUUGAAAAACAGCAUUUUCCUUGCUAACAGGGCCUCUGUUAGAGUGGAGGAGAUCUGUCGAAAGAUGGAAAAGGAGGACGGGCCCACUGAGCUGAAGGAGCUUUUAGAUUAUUUCACUGCUCUUGAGGAGGACCGCAGGAACCUGCAGAAUCUCCUGCAAGAGAAAAAUGAAGAAAAUGAAAUGAAGUUGAGGGCUAAGGAGAGGGAGAUGGUGCAUGAGAGGGUAGAGUUGGAGAGUGAGAUGCGGGACAGAGGAGGCCCUGCUGUGCACUUUUAUUUCCGUUGUUGUCUGAAAGGACAAGGUCAUGAAAGACCUGAGGAUCCAGAUGGACAGACCGGUAAGACAGGCUUUUUGUGUUUCUGGGCACCAGAUAUUGCCUGUUGCCUUGAGGAGGCAUUUCUAACUGUAUAAAAUAUACAAAUAACUUGAUAUGUGGACAUGUGUUAUAUUUUUUCAGAGUCCAUCUAGGGUGUGCGAGGCACAAUGGGGCCAUUUUCAAACACAUGGGGCCACUGGCACUGCAGUGGUCACACUCCAGGACAAUUCUGAAAGCACUAUGAGUGACCUGCAGGAGGACCGGGUGAAAAUCACUGAAGUAAAGAAACAGGAGAAAGCCCUUCAACAGGCAGAGAAGAAAGAACAGAAGGCAGAGAAGAAAAGAGGAUUUUUC
ensembl:lncRNA